rnacentral:rRNA from 1 species
GACGGAGGGGGCUAGCGUUGUUCGGAAUUACUGGGCGUAAAGCGCACGUAGGCGGCUUUGUAAGUUAGAGGUGAAAGCCCGGGGCUCAACUCCGGAAUUGCCUUUAAGACUGCAUCGCUAGAACGUCGGAGAGGUGAGUGGAAUUCCGAGUGUAGAGGUGAAAUUCGUAGAUAUUCGGAAGAACACCAGUGGCGAAGGCGACUCACUGGACGACUGUUGACGCUGAGGUGCGAAAGCGUGGGGAGCAAACAGG